rnacentral:lncRNA from 1 species
AUCAAGACCAGAAGGCUUCUCUGAUCCUCCAGCACCAGCAGGAGAUCCAGGCUUUGCAGCAGGAGCUGGUGCGAAUGAAGAGCCACUCACAGGAGCUCCAGGCUGAGGAGCUGGGAGGUCUCCGGCAGCAGCUGUUGGAGGCUCACACCUGCACUGCAGACCUGGAGGAGCACCUGAAGAACCUGGAGAGUGAGCAGGCAGAGGCUGAAGAGAUGAUGGUGGAGCUGAGGAGGAAACAUCUGGCUGAGGUUCAGAGGCUCAAGGAUGAGUAUGCAGAACAGCUGGAAAACAGACUCCUAGAGGAAAGAGCUGAACUGGAGCAAGGGUUGUCAGGUGAUUGGGCCAGAGAGAAGAAACUGUUGAAAGAAAGCCACGAGCAGCAACUAGAGGAGGUGAAGAUGAGGUCUGAGGUGGAGCAUAGAGACUUGGUUAAGAGCCUCACAGAGCAGUGGCAGAAGGAGAAAACACAGCUGGAUGAGCAGAACACGGAGGCCCUACAGGGGCUACUGGAGGAGGAGAUGCUGAAGAUGGUCUUUGAACAAGAGGAGAAGGAGAAGGAGCUGAGGGAGCAGUGGGAGCGUGAACAUGCUCAGCUUCAGCAGCAGCACCAGGAUGAGGUGCUGAGGAGAUUAGAGGAGGAGAGGUCCCAGUUUGAGCAGAGGGAGAGGAGGCUGAGAAAGCAGUGGGACAUGGAAAGGCUGCAACUAGAGGAAGACUACGAGGGAAUGAUCCAGGAACGAGUGAGUGAAGAGAAGGAAAAGCUCCAGGCGGAGAGAGAGGAGGACGAGAAGAUGCAGCAGCAGAGUUUGAAGGAGGAGAGGGAACAUCUGGAGGAGAGACAACGAGUAGCAGUGAAAGAACUGAGAGCCAAACACGCAGAGGAGAGGGCUACACUGAGCAGCACGCUGGAAAAACUACGAGACGACAUCGCUGUGGAGAGAUCUGAAGUUCAUCGGCUCGCUGAUGAAAACGCUGUCCUCAGCCAGAAAAUUGCUGCUUUAAAGAACGAGGACCUGAAAGAGGAACACGACAAGUUGCUGUAA